rnacentral:rRNA from 1 species
GAUGAACGCUAGCGGCAGGCCUAACACAUGCAAGUCGAGGGGCAGCGGGAAAAAGCUUGCUUUUUUGCCGGCGACCGGCGCACGGGUGCGGAACGCGUAUGGAACCUGCCCCUGUCAGGGGAAUAGCCCAGGGAAACUUGGAUUAAUGCCCCAUGGUACCGCGAUAUCGCAUGAUAUUGUGGUUAAAGAUUUAUCGGACAGGGAUGGCCAUGCGUACCAUUAGUUAGUUGGUAAGGUAACGGCUUACCAAGGCAACGAUGGUUAGGGGCCCUGAGAGGGGGAUCCCCCACACUGGUACUGAGACACGGACCAGACUCCUACGGGAGGCAGCAGUGAGGAAUAUUGGACAAUGGUCGUAAGACUGAUCCAGCCAUGCCGCGUGCAGGAUGACGGCCCUAUGGGUUGUAAACUGCUUUUAUACGGGAAGAAACGCACCUACGUGUAGGUGUCUGACGGUACCGUAAGAAUAAGGACCGGCUAACUCCGUG